AUGCUCGCUUUGGCAGCACCCAGGCUAAGAUUGGAAGGAUACAGAGAAGAUUAGCAUGGCCCUGUGCAAGGACUACAUGCAAAUUUGUGAAGCGUUCCAUAUUUUU